rnacentral:rRNA from 1 species
GUGGGGAAUUUUGGACAAUGGGCGCAAGCCUGAUCCAGCAAUGCCGCGUGCAGGAAGAAGGCCUUCGGGUUGUAAACUGCUUUUGUACGGAACGAAACGGUCCGGGUUAAUACCCUGGGCUAAUGACGGUACCGUAAGAAUAAGCACCGGCUAACUACGUGCCAGCAGCCGCGGUAAUACGUAGGGUGCAAGCGUUAAUCGGAAUUACUGGGCGUAAAGCGUGCGCAGGCGGUGCUGUAAGACAGGCGUGAAAUCCCCGGGCUCAACCUGGGAAUUGCGCUUGUGACUGCAGUGCUGGAGUGCGGCAGAGGGGGAUGGAAUUCCGCGUGUAGCAGUGAAAUGCGUAGAUAUGCGGAGGAACACCGAUGGCGAAGGCAAUCCCCUGGGCCUGCACUGACGCUCAUGCACGAAAGCGUGGGGAGCAAACAGGAUUAGAUACCCCGGUAGUCC